rnacentral:tRNA from 1 species
AGAGCGGAGGGACCUUACACCCAAAACCAAGAAAGUGAAAAUGCCUAGAUGGGUUCGCACGCCCCAUAAACA